GCCAGACUCCUACGGGAGGCAGCCGUGGGGAAUAUUGGGCAAUGGGCGCAAGCCUGACCCAGCAACGCCGCGUGAAGGAAGAAGGCUUUCGGGUUGUAAACUUCUUUUGUCAGGGACGAAGCAAGUGACGGUACCUGACGAAUAAGCCACGGCUAACUACGUGCCAGCAGCCGCGGUAAUACGUAGGUGGCAAGCGUUAUCCGGAUUUACUGGGUGUAAAGGGCGUGUAGGCAGGACUGCAAGUCAGAUGUGAAAACCACGGGCUCAACCUGUGGCCUGCAUUUGAAACUGUAGUUCUUGAGUACUGGAGAGGCAGACGGAAUUCCUAGUGUAGCGGUGAAAUGCGUAGAUAUUAGGAGGAACACCAGUGGCGAAGGCGGGCUGCUGGACAGCAACUGACGCUGAGGCGCGAAAGCGUGGGGAGCAAACAGGAUUAGAUACCCUAGUAAC
rnacentral:rRNA from 1 species